AGGCACUUUUUUCGUGGCUGGUUGCAAGCACAGUGGUUGGUACUGUUACUAAUGUGAGAGGGUAGUGGGAUGGCUGAUUUUGAGGAACUUAUUUAUGGACUCAACUUAUCCACAUUACUGCUUCUGCAAUAGUUGUUACUGACAUGUGACAGUACUGAAGAGGUUUUUGUCUCUUAGUCACAUACAUGAGAGCAAUUUAAACACACUAACUUUAGGGAAUUAACCCUGAAAGAUGAGUCUUUCUUGCUGUAAUUGGAGGACUUGUUUGCCUAGCAUGACAUCUUUUGCCAUACCUGUAAAGGCUUGGGUCAAUUCCCUACGUUUUGUUUCAUGAUGCAUUCCAAUCCUACAACGGCUAGCAUCAUAAUCAAUACAACAUGACAUGGUUGAUCUUCUUUUCCUUUUUCAUUUCCCUAUCUAUUUUUUUUUAGUCUUGUAGUGUAAUGGGUAACAUCGUCCUUGUGUAUCAUAGCUGUUGCAAACGCGGAAAAUUAUCACUGAAUUAUCUAAAAAAGAAUCUCAAUUCUACUCCAGUUUAUUAUUAUAUUCAGAUAGCCUUUGAGCAUUCUGUGGGCAUUGGGUUGCAGCCUCUGGAGUUCUUCAGCUGUACCUGGAGCAUAUGCCUUGGCUGAUGGUGUGUAUAUAUAUCCUCAUCCAUUCAUUGAUUGUGUUCAGUAAAUGCUGCCGCUACAAGUCCUCAAAUAAAAUGGUCCACACUCUUAGCUUUUGUAGACAACACUCUAGCUAACAUUUUCUAUUAGAUAACGAUGUAUCGUAAUGCAGUGAAAUACUUGGUGAGAGAAGAAUAGAGAACUGAAUUUUCUUAUCAAAUCAAUGAUUCAUACAACAGAGCAUGCACAUACGUACACAUUCAUGUUGGCCAAAAUUGUUAAGACUCUCCUUUUGCAAGAUGAUGCGAUCUUUCAGGGUGGUCGAUCCGUCGAUGCAUCACAUUUUGUAUUGUUCAUCCAUGUACUGUCCAAGCGUCAGAGAACAGGAGAAAAGAAAAAGGUAUGGCCAACUAACAAUAUUAAUAUGGUGUAUACCAACUGCUCAGUUGUAGUAUUGGU
rnacentral:lncRNA from 1 species